AAUGGGGAAACCCAGUGUGUUUCGACACACUAUCAUUAACUGAAUCCAUAGGUUAAUGAGGCGAACCGGGGGAACUGAAACAUCUAAGUACCCCGAGGAAAAGAAAUCAACCGAGAUUCCCCCAGUAGCGGCGAGCGAACGGGGAGGAGCCCAGAGCCUGAAUCAGUGUGUGUGUUAGUGGAAGCGUCUGGAAAGGCGUGCGAUACAGGGUGACAGCCCCGUACACAAAAAUGCACAUAUUGUGAGCUCGAUGAGUAGGGCGGGACACGUGGUAUCCUGUCUGAAUAUGGGGGGACCAUCCUCCAAGGCUAAAUACUCCUGACUGACCGAUAGUGAACCAGUACCGUGAGGGAAAGGCGAAAAGAACCCCGGCGAGGGGAGUGAAAAAGAACCUGAAACCGUGUACGUACAAGCAGUGGGAGCCUCUUAAUGGGGUGACUGCGUACCUUUUGUAUAAUGGGUCAGCGACUUAUAUUCUGUAGCAAGGUUAACCGAAUAGGGGAGCCGAAGGGAAACCGAGUCUUAACUGGGCGUUAAGUUGCAGGGUAUAGACCCGAAACCCGGUGAUCUAGCCAUGGGCAGGUUGAAGGUUGGGUAACACUAACUGGAGGACCGAACCGACUAAUGUUGAAAAAUUAGCGGAUGACUUGUGGCUGGGGGUGAAAGGCCAAUCAAACCGGGAGAUAGCUGGUUCUCCCCGAAAGCUAUUUAGGUAGCGCCUCGUGAAUUCAUCUCCGGGGGUAGAGCACUGUUUCGGCAAGGGGGUCAUCCCGACUUACCAACCCGAUGCAAACUGCGAAUACCGGAGAAUGUUAUCACGGGAGACACACGGCGGGUGCUAACGUCCGUCGUGAAGAGGGAAACAACCCAGACCGCCAGCUAAGGUCCCAAAGUCAUGGUUAAGUGGGAAACG
rnacentral:rRNA from 1 species